UUUCUACCCCUAGCCAGUUCAGGUAUUUCAUACACUUUCUACCCCUAGCCAGUUCAGGUAUUUCAUACACUUUCUACCCCUAGCCAGUUCAGGUAUUUCAUACACUUUCUACCCCUAGCCAGUUGAGGUAUUUCAUACACUUUCUACCCCUAGCCAGUUCAGGUAUUUCAUACACUUUCUACCCCUAGCCAGUUCAGGUAUUUCAUACACUUUCUACCCCUAGCCAGUUCAGGUAUUUCAUACACUUUCUGCCCCUAGCCAGUUCAGGUAUUUCUUAAAUUUUCUGCCCCUAGCCAGUUCAGGUAUUUCAUACACUUUCUGCCCCUAGCCAGUUCAGGUAUUUCAUACACUUUCUGCCCCUAGCCAGUUCAGGUAUUUCUUAAAUUUUCUGCCCCUAGCCAGUUCAGGUAUUUCAUACACUUUCUACCCCUAGCCACUUGAGGUAUUUCAUACACUUUCUGGCCCUAGCCAGUUCAGGUAUUUCGUGCAUUUUCUACCCCUAGCCAGUUCAGGUAUUUCAUGUGUUCCAGCUCAAGCACAACUGGUGUAAGUAACGAAGCCUUUGAUUAGAUGCAUCAGGUGUGCUUGAGACGACACCUGUUCUGCGUAUUUGUACUGUUGUGAGGGAUUCCAUUCAGGGGGUUGAAUCAUUUUGAGACUGGAGAAAUCAUUAUAAGUUGCAUUUUCAGUUGAAUUUGGGGAAACCACUCGAAGCGUUCGUUGUGGUGUGUUGUGUUGUGUUCGUUUCAAUUGCCUUUGUUUGAUUUGUUCAUCGCAAACAGAUGAAAGUCUGUCCAUUUUGACAAUAAACCGGAUUUGCAACUGUAUAAUGGCCGCCUAUUGAGUAUUUGUCAACAGUUA
ensembl:lncRNA